CGCAUCUGUGCAUGCAGCAUAUCAAUAAGCGGAGGAAAAGGAAACUAACAAGGAUUCCCUUAGUAACGGCGAGUGAAGCGGGAAGAGCUCAAAUUUGAAAUCUUCAAGGUUUUACCUUGACGAAUUGUAGUUUAAAGAAGUGUUCUCUGUUGAAGUUUUGGUAAAAGUUCUUUGGAAUAGGACAUCAUAGAGGGUGAGAAUCCCGUAUUUGACCAUUAUUUUCAGCUGUGUGAUACACUUUCAAAGAGUCGGAUUGUUUGGGAAUGCAGUCCAAAAUGGGUGGUAAAUUUCAUCUAAAGCUAAAUAUUGGCGAGAGACCGAUAGCGAACAAGUACCGUGAGGGAAAGAUGAAAAGGAACUUUGAAAAGAGAGUUAAACAGUACGUGAAAUUGUCAAAAGGGAAGCGUUUGACACCAGUGUUGUUUUCUCGAAAAUCAAUUAAAAAGAGUUAGAUUUUGUUGUGUAUUGACCUUAACAGCUUGCAUUUCAAUUUUCUUGCUUUUUUUAAUGCGACUUUUCGUUUAACAAGUCAACAUCAGUUUCUUUUGUUGUAAAAAGGUCAUUGGAAGGUGGCUUUCUUUUCGGAGAAAGUGUUUAUAGCCUUUGACUCCUGCAAUCGGAGAGACUGAGGUCUGCAGCGUAGAUCCUUCGGGGUUAGAUACAUUUGUGCUAAGUUAUAGCUUUUUAUAGACAACUUGUUGACUAUGAUUAGUCUUGUAGCUUACUCGCUUAUGCUAUUUUACCUACGCUUAGGAUGUUGAUCUGUAGUGCGUGCGC
rnacentral:rRNA from 1 species